GACGAACGCUGGCGGCGUGCUUAACACAUGCAAGUCGAGCGGAGCGGCGAACGGGUGAGUAACGCGUGAGUAACUGCCCCCCUCUCUGGGAUAAAAGUUGGAAACGGCUGCUAAUACCGGAUAGUGGGGGGGGACUCGCGCCCUAGCCGCUUGGUGGUGGGGUAGUGGCCUACCAAGGCGACGACGGGUAGCCGGCCUGAGAGGGCGACCGGCCAAAGUGGGCUGGGAGACGGCACGAACUCCUACGGGGUGCAGCAGUGGGGAAUAUUGCCCAAUGGGGGAAACCCUGAUGCAGCAACGCCGCGUGCGGGAGGUCGGCCUUCGUGUUGUAAACCGCUUUCAGCCAUGACGCGGUAGUGGCAUAAGAAUAACCGGCUGACUACGUACCAGCAGCCGCGGUAAUUC
rnacentral:rRNA from 1 species